rfam:Oryza meridionalis cultivar OR44 (W2112) chromosome 4, whole genome shotgun sequence.
AAUAAGCGCAGCCAUGAGUUUCCGUGUCUAAUUUUGAUCAUUCGUCUUAUUUGAAAUUUUUUACGAUUAGUAUUUUUAUUGUUGUUAGAUUAUAAAACAUAAAUAGUAUUUUAUGCGUGACUAAUUUUUUUUAGUUUUUUCAAAAAAAAUUUAAAUAAGACGAACGAUUAAAAUUGGGCACAGAAACUUAUGGCUGCACUUAUU